GUAUAAACUACAAAACAUUCGUUUGCAUUAUACAUUCGCCAUUUUACACAGCGACUGGUCGGUUGUUGUGUGUCAUCUCUCCGGGGAAAAAAAGAGCGGGUCUUUGCGGUAUAUUUUUUCUUGUGAGCUUUUCUGGUCAUUUCCUGCCGGCAACAUGGUCAAAGUGAAGACUAUGCCAACUGAGCAAAGAAGAUCCCAACGUCUGGCCUUGCAGAAAUUGGGACCUGCAGUGGAACCUAAGAAAAAACCUGCAGCAAAAAAGGGACCCAAACCAAAGAAGGUCAAACUAUCUGAGAAUGGAAACACCAAGGCUGAGGAGCCAAAGGCUGAAGCCACUGAAGCCAAAUGAAUAACGGUUGAUGUGCUCACUCUGUGUACUUGGUGAUUGUACAGUUUUAAAAUAAGUAUUUUUUACCAAGUUUUUUAUUACAAAUGUCAUUUAUAGGUUUGUUUUGGGCUUGCACUUGAUGUAACAAAACCUUUGUUGUCACACUCAUAUCCAUUUUAAAAUGAUAACCGUCCAUAUCUUGUAGACGUGACAUUUUUAGUUUGUCUAAUCCUGUUUUUUUUAAACUGCUGAGUAAUAGAUAUUUUCCCAACUUGGAUUUUACAUAAAAUUUUGAACAUUAUAAGGCAGCUAAUGAAUAUUGUUAAAAUUCAAUGAAGUAUAGGAAUGAUGCCUUUUAUCUCUUUGUACUUUAAUGUUAAAAUAAUAAAAACUAUUGCUUACCAAAAGUUUUGAAGCACUGUAUGUCGACAUUAGAUGUAGUCAGUGAAAAUGCCACAGAAAAAUACUGUUAUUGGGUUAAAAAAAAAAAGUUUGAUAUAUCCCAAAAAGGUGUAUAAUGUGAGCCUGGUCAUCCGGUUAAAAACGUUCUGUUAAGUUAUGUGUCUGUUAGAGGAAAAGAAAGCUUUUCUGACUUCAUGGUUGAUCUAAAUGUUCUUGAAUAAAAAACUUCAAAAUGUCA